rnacentral:rRNA from 1 species
UACAGAGGGUGCAAGCGUUGUUCGGAAUUAUUGGGCGUAAAGCGCGUGUAGGCGGCCGUGCAAGUCGGGUGUGAAAGCCCUCAGCUCAACUGAGGAAGUGCGCCCGAAACUGCAUGGCUUGAGUACCGGAGAGGAUGGCGGAAUUCCCGAAGUAGAGGUGAAAUUCGUAGAUAUCGGGAGGAACACCGGUGGCGAAGGCGGCAUCCUGGACCGACACUGACGCUGAGGCGCGAAAGCUAGGGUAGCAAACGGG